rnacentral:rRNA from 1 species
GACAGAGGGUGCAAACGUUGUUCGGAAUUACUGGGCGUAAAGCGCGCGUAGGCGGCUUUGCAAGUCGGGUGUGAAAUCCCCAGGCUUAACCUGGGAACUGCAUUCGAGACUGCAUUGCUAGAGUAUGGGAGAGGGAAGUGGAAUUUCCGGUGUAGCGGUGAAAUUCGUAGAUAUCGGGAGGAACACCAGUGGCGAAGGCGGCGACCUGGGCCAAUAUUGACGCUGAGGUGCGAAAGCGUGGGGAGCAAACAGG